AUACACUCCGUCAAUAAAUAAAUGUAGUAUGUACAAUAAAUAAAUGUAAUAUGUGCAGUCUACAAAGUGAUAUAUAAGAUGUAUAGUGUAAAGUAAGUGUAAAGUGCGCCAGUGGUUCGAGUCCAAGAUAGUACAUAAGGAUCGUGGCAUUCAUUUCAUAUUUAAAAAAAAAUUCUGGUUUGAACAAGUUUGAACGUAAAGAUUGCACAGCUCUGGGUGAUUUGCUGUGAAAAGUGGUUUGGGAGCUAAAGAGUUAACGUGUCCCUCUCUCUGUUGGAACGCUGCGUGGGCUGCGAGAUCAUUCGAGAGUGCAUUUUCAGCGUCCAAUCAGCGGCGCGGACUCCGCUCCGCGUUCGGCCAAUGGGAGCGAUGGGAGGCUCUAUCGAAUUUGAAUGAGGAGUGUAUCUUUCGGCGCCAUUUUCGAGUGAGCUGCGGAUUGCCUCAGCAGCUGCGGGGAGAAGAGGAUGCUGCUGCGAACAUAGAGAGAGAGAGAGAAAGAAAGCUGCCGCGGAGAGACGGGGGCGCUCAAAAUUAAACUGCGCUUUUUAGAGAGAGGGGAUAAUUUCAAUGGAAACACAGGUGGUGAACCUCUUCACCUGCUUUAGAAGUGGACAAAAGAUCUGCAAAAAAAGAUGCUGAUGAUCAUCUGAACGUCUUUAGGUAGAUAAAUGAUAGGUACUAAGCAGCCAUCUGUGACCAUGUGGUUAGGACUAGAAGCCUGGAGGAUGAAGACCGUAAAUAACACAGAAGAUGACAAGAGUUAGACGCGGAGGGACCACGACUGCAGUUCUGGCGAUGCUGUAGCAGCACGGAAUGGUUUGUGGGUUACACAGAGAUGCAGGCCAUACUGUGCUGCCGCAGUAAAGCCUGAAUAUACAACCUGACUGUCACUUCUUCAACCUGUUGAAGCUGUUUGCUAUCGCUCUUGGAUUUUUAGUCUCCACUGUCUGAAGUAAUGCCACAUAGACGAUUGUUUGUCUGAUGAUUUAAAAAAAAAGUUGGUUGGAUUUUCUCAUUCACUGGUCGCCUUACUGUAGCAGCACGUAAAUAUUGGAGUUAAGACUCUAGCUGAAGCCUCCAGUAUUGAUCGUGCUGCUGAAGCAAAGCUGACCACUCACAAUCAGAGCAACCAGCCACUGAGUGUACAAACACCUCCCCAGUGGUGCCAAACACUGAGAGAUGCUCACAGCUACUUUGUUUACGCACAGAUUUUGAGUUAACCUCAAACACAAUACUUUUUGCUUUUAUAGUUAAAAUGUGUACACACCAUCUUCUUACAUUUUCACUGUUCUGUCAGCACACUUGGAGAAAUAAAAUGUUGAAUUGG